rnacentral:rRNA from 1 species
CCUACGGGUGGCUGCAGUCGAGGAUCUUCGGCAAUGGGGGAAACCCUGACCGAGCGACGCCGCGUGUGGGAUGAAGGCCCUCGGGUUGUAAACCACUGUCAGAGGGGAUGAAGUGCCAUGGGGUUCUCUCCAUGGUUUGACAUAUCCUCAGAGGAAGGACGGGCUAAGUUCGUGCCAGCAGCCGCGGUAAUACGAACCGUCCAAAUGUUAUUCGGAAUCGCUGGGGUUGAAGGCGCUGUAGGCUGCGCGUGAAAGCCCUCGGCUUAACCGAGGAAUAGCGCUCAAUACUGCUGUGCUUGAGGGAGAUAGAGGUGAGCGGAACUUAGGGUGGAGCGGUGAAAUGCGUUGAUAUCCUAAGGAACACCUGGGGCGAAAGCGGCUCACUGGAUCUUUUCUGACGCUGAUGCACGAAAGCUAGGGUAGCGAACGGGAUUAGAUACCCGAGUAGUC